ACUGCUCAGUAACACGUGGCUAAUCUGCCCUUAGGACGAGAACAACCCCGGGAAACUGGGGCUAACUCUUGAUAGGUGAAGAACUCUGGAAUGAGUCUUUGCUUAAAAAGAUUCACGUUAUCCUCGUGAAUUUGCCUAAGGAUGAGGCCGCGACCGAUCAGGUUGUUGGCGAGGUAAUGGCUCACCAAGCCUUUUACCGGUGCGGGCCGUGGGAGCGGGAGCCCGGAGAUGGGUACUGAGACAAGGACCCAGGCCCUACGGGGCGCAGCAGUCGCGAAACCUUUGCAAUAAGCGCAAGCUUGACAGGGCUAUCCCGAGUGCCAUCCGCUGAGGAAGGCUUUUACCCAGUCUAGAACGCUGGGGGAAUAAGGAGAGGGCAAGUCUGGUGUCAGCCGCCGCGGUAAUACCAGCUCUCCGAGUGGUGUGGAUGUUUAUUGGGCCUAAAGCAUCCGUAGCUGGCUAGGUAAGUCCCUUGUUAAAUCCACCGAAUUAAUCGUUGGAUCGCGGGGGAUACUGCUUGGCUAGGGGACGAGAGAGGCAGACGGUAUUUUCGGGGUAGGGGUGAAAUCCUAUAAUCCCGGGAAGACCACCAGUGGCGAAGGCUGUCUGCUAGAACGCGCCCGACGGUGAGGGAUGAAAGCUGGGGGAGCGAACCGGAUUAGAUACCCGGGUAGUCCCAGCUGUAAACGAUGCAGACUAUGUGUUUGGACGGCCACGUGCCGUUCUAGUGCCGCAGGGAAGCUGUUAAGUCUGCCGCCUGGGGAGUACGAUCGCAAGAUUGAAACUUAAAGGAAUUGGCGGGGGAGCAC
rnacentral:rRNA from 1 species